rnacentral:rRNA from 1 species
ACGCUGGCGGCACGCCUAACACAUGCAAGUCGAACGAAGUAGCAAUACUUAGUGGCAGACGGGUGAGUAACAUGUAGGUAUCUGCCCUUUGGCCUGGAAUAACACGAGGAAACUUGUGCUAACACCGGAUAAGUCUUUACGGAGAAAGCUUUAUGCACCAUUGGAUGAGCCUGCACUUGAUUAGUUUGUUGGUGGGGUAAUGGCCUACCAAGACUGUGAUCAAUAGCUGAUUUGAGAGGAUGAUCAGCCACAUUGGGACUGAGACACGGCCCAAACUCCUACGGGAGGCAGCAGUGGGGAAUCUUGCACAAUGGAGGAAACUCUGAUGCAGCGAUGCCGCGUGAGUGAAGAAGGCCCUUGGGUUGUAAAGCUCUUUCGUCGGGGAAGAAAAUGACUGUACCCGAAUAAGAAGGUCCGGCUAACUUCGUGCCAGCAGCCGCGGUAAUACGAAGGGACCUAGCGUAGUUCGGAAUUACUGGGCUUAAAGAGUUCGUAGGUGGUUGAAAAAGUUAGUGGUGAAAUCCCAGAGCUUAACUCUGGAACUGCCAUUAAAACUUUUCAGCUAGAGUAUGAUAGAGGAAAGCAGAAUUUCUAGUGUAGAGGUGAAAUUCGUAGAUAUUAGAAAGAAUACCAAUUGCGAAGGCAGCUUUCUGGAUCAUUACUGACACUGAGGAACGAAAGCAUGGGUAGCGAAGAGGAUUAGAUACCCUCGUAGUCCAUGCCGUAAACGAUGUGUGUUAGACGUUGGAAAUUUAUUUUCAGUGUCGCAGGGAAACCGAUAAACACACCGCCUGGGGAGUACGACCGCAAGGUUAAAACUCAAAUGAAUUGACGGGGACCCGCACAAGUAGUGGAGCAUGUGGUUUAAUUCGAAGAUACGCGCAGAACCUUACCAACACUUGACAUGUUCGUCGCGACUCUAAGAGAUUAGAGUUUUCGGUUCGGCCGGACGAAACACAGGUGCUGCAUGGCUGUCGUCAGCUCGUGUCGUGAGAUGUUGGGUUAAGUCCCGCAACGAGCGCAACCCUCACUUUUAGUUGCCAUCAUUAAGUUGGGCACUCUGAAAGAACUGCCAGUGAUAAGCUGGAGGAAGGUGGGGAUGACGUCAAGUCCUCAUGGCCCUUACGUGUUGGGCUACACACGUGCUACAAUGGUAUCUACAACAGGAAGCAAAACUGCGAAGUUAAGCAAAUCCCUAAAAGAUACCUCAGUUCGGAUUGCACUCUGCAACUCGAGUGCAUGAAGCUGGAAUUACUAGUAAUCGUGGAUCAGCGUGCCACGGUGAAUGCGUUCCCGGGUCUUGUACACACCGCCCGUCACACCAUGGGAGUUGGUUCUACCUUAAGGCAAGGUUUUAAACCCUUGACCACGGUAUAGUCAGCGACUGGGGUG